rnacentral:rRNA from 1 species
UACGGGGGGAGCAAGCGUUGUUCGGAUUUACUGGGCGUAAAGGGCGCGUAGGCGGUCAGCACAAGUCAGUUGUGAAAUCUCCGAGCUUAACUCGGAAAGGUCAACUGAUACUGUGCGACUAGAGUGCGGAAGGGGCAACUGGAAUUCUUGGUGUAGCGGUGAAAUGCGUAGAUAUCAGGAGGAACACCAAUAGCGAAGGCAGCUCGCUGGGACGUUACUGACACUGAGGCGCGAAAGCGUGGGGAGCGAACAGG